CUCGGAUCAAGCUAACGUAACAUCAGUGCAAACUCUGGUGCAAAGGAACGAAGAAAAGCAGCAGCAGGAGGAGAAGAAAGCCCUGUAAAGAGCUGCAGGUGAAGAGACAUGUAGGACCACACCUAGCACAGCAGCCGGUGAAACAGAGCAUGCAGCAGGUGAAGGAGCAACAGACACAACUCGCCCUGAUUCUGCACUACAGCCUGCAGACACUUUCUCCCCCACAACAAGUUCUGAUGUCCAUGAGUCCAUCAGGGAAGAACCGAUUGAUCCUGCUGACUGGCCAACCCUGUCUGGCCAAAGUUACUAAAAAUUAAAAUAUUCUGAGACCAUUA